rnacentral:rRNA from 1 species
UCUGACGGAGCAACGCCGCGUGAGUGAUGAAGGUUUUCGGAUCGUAAAACUCUGUUGUUAGGGAAGAACAAGUACCGUUCGAAUAGGGCGGUACCUUGACGGUACCUAACCAGAAAGCCACGGCUAACUACGUGCCAGCAGCCGCGGUAAUACGUAGGUGGCAAGCGUUGUCCGGAAUUAUUGGGCGUAAAGCGCGCGCAGGCGGUUUCUUAAGUCUGAUGUGAAAGCCCCCGGCUCAACCGGGGAGGGUCAUUGGAAACUGGGGAACUUGAGUGCAGAAGAGGAGAGUGGAAUUCCACGUGUAGCGGUGAAAUGCGUAGAGAUGUGGAGGAACACCAGUGGCGAAGGCGACUCUCUGGUCUGUAACUGACGCUGAGGCGCGAAAGCGUGGGGAGCGAACAGGAUUAGAUACCCUGGUAGUCCACGCCGUAAACGAUGAGUGCUAAGUGUUAGAGGGUUUCCGCCCUUUAGUGCUGCAGCAAACGCAUUAAGCACUCCGCCUGGGGAGUACGGUCGCAAGACUGAAACUCAAAGGAAUUGACGGGGGCCCGCACAAGCGGUGGAGCAUGUGGUUUAAUUCGAAGCAACGCGAAGAACCUUACCAGGUCUUGACAUCCUCUGACAACCCUAGAGAUAGGGCUUCCCCUUCGGGGGCAGAGUGACAGGUGGUGCAUGGUUGUCGUCAGCUCGUGUCGUGAGAUGUUGGGUUAAGUCCCGCAACGAGCGCAACCCUUGAUCUUAGUUGCCAGCAUUCAGUUGGGCACUCUAAGGUGACUGCCGGUGACAAACCGGAGGAAGGUGGGGAUGACGUCAAAUCAUCAUGCCCCUUAUGACCUGGGCUACACACGUGCUACAAUGGGCAGAAACAAAGGGCAGCGAAGCCGCGGAGGCUAAGCCCAAUCCCACAAAUCUGUUCUCAGUUCGGGAUCGCAGUCUGCAACUCGACUGCGUGAAGCUGGAAUCGCUAG